CCUACGGGUGGCUGCAGUGAGGAAUAUUGGUCAAUGGUCGGGAGACUGAACCAGCCACGCCGCGUGGGGGAUGAAGGUACAGAGUAUCGUAAACCUCUUUUGUCAGGGAACAAAGGCGGGGACGUGUCCCCGGAUGAGUGUACCUGAAGAAAAAGCAUCGGCUAACUCCGUGCCAGCAGCCGCGGUAAUACGGAGGAUGCGGGCGUUAUCCGGAGUUAUUGGGGUUAAAGGGUGCGCAGGGGGCAUGUUAAGUCAGCGGUAAAAGCCCGGGGCGCAACCCCGGGGCGCCGGUGAAACUGGGGGGGGGGAGUUGGAGAGAGGUACGCGGAAUGCGCGGUGUAGCGGUGAAAUGGUUAGAUAGCGCGAAGAACCCCGAGUGCGAAGGCAGCGUACCGGCUCCACACUGACGCUGAGGCACGAAAGCGUGGGUAUCGAACAGGAUUAGAUACCCGAGUAGUC
rnacentral:rRNA from 1 species